rnacentral:rRNA from 1 species
CCAACGGGUAGAGCCGGGCGACUCUGCGGGACGUGCCAUCGACAAGAUGGAGGAAGGUGGGGAUGACGUCAAGUCAUCAUGGCCCUUACGGCCUGGGCUACACACGUGCUACAAUGGUCGGUACAAAGGGUUGCCAAGCCGCGAGGUGGAGCUAAUCCCAUAAAACCGAUCGUAGUCCGGAUCGCAGUCUGCAACUCGACUGCGUGAAGUCGGAAUCGCUAGUAAUCGUGAAUCAGAAUGUCACGGUGAAUACGUUCCCGGGCCUU